GAUGAACGCUGGCGGCGUGCCUAAUACAUGCAAGUCGAGCGAACAGACGAGGAGCUUGCUCCUCUGACGUUAGCGGCGGACGGGUGAGUAACACGUGGAUAACCUACCUAUAAGACUGGGAUAACUUCGGGAAACCGGGGCUAAUACCGGAUAAUAUAUUGAACCGCAUGGUUCAAUAGUGAAAGACGGUUUUGCUGUCACUUAUAGAUGGAUCCGCGCCGCAUUAGCUAGUUGGUAAGGUAACGGCUUACCAAGGCAACGAUGCGUAGCCGACCUGAGAGGGUGAUCGGCCACACUGGAACGGAGACACGGUCCAGACGCCUACGGGAGGCAGCAGUAGGGAAUCUUCCGCAAUGGGCGAAAGCCUGACGGAGCAACGCCGCGUGAGUGAUGAAGGUCUUCGGAUCGUAAAACUCUGUUAUUAGGGAAGAACAAAUGUGUAAGUAACUAUGCACGUCUUGACGGUACCUAAUCAGAAAGCCACGGCUAACUACGUG
rnacentral:rRNA from 1 species